UGUGACAUGCAAAUAGCCCAGUUGUACAGG
rnacentral:piRNA from 1 species